rnacentral:lncRNA from 1 species
ACUGGUCCGCGCACGCGCACGACGCCGCAGGCCCCGGCCCCGGCCCGCGGCAGCUGAACGGCAGAGCCUGUAGCUGCACAGCUGUGCUUCCACCUGGCGUUCAGUACCUCGUGCCCGAGAGCGGAAAAGGGAAAUCGCGAGCGGAGGACCGAUGUGCUGGCCACGUGGGCCCCGCCGGGCCGACUCCGGACCCUGCUGCCGCCCAUUCCUCCGGUGCAAGGGACCUGGAAGUGAUCCCGGUGCCGCUCUGCUCCCACCAGCUAGGGAGCAGAGGCGCGGGAGGGAAGGGGCGUCCCGGGGGUCGCCAGCACGCUGCGGGCAGGGCUGGCAGCCGCCUCCACGCCCCCGCGCUGGAAGCCUCGUCUUUGUAACAUCGAGGUAUCCUGUAACUAGAUGGGUCCUGGCCUGCGGAGGUAGUUUCCCCUGUGAAGCCAGGGACUCAGCCAGGAGCGUGAGGGGACCCGGAUCCUGAGUCUCCAAGCCGCCCACUACCCUCUGCUUUACCGGAUGGAACUCAUCAGUAACUAGGUAUCUUUAAGGGCGGCUCCCUGGCGCGCUCUGAGAGUUACGGAAGUCCCAAAA